ACGAACGCUGGCGGCAUGCCUAACACAUGCAAGUCGAACGAAUUCACCGACUUCGGUUGGUGAGUUAGUGGCGCACGGGUGCGUAACGCGUGGGAAUCUGCCCCUCGGUUCGGAAUAACAGUUAGAAAUGACUGCUAAUACCGGAUGAUGACGAAAGUCCAAAGAUUUAUCGCCGAGGGAUGAGCCCGCGUAGGAUUAGCUAGUUGGUAAGGUAAAAGCUUACCAAGGCGACGAUCCUUAGCUGGUCUGAGAGGAUGAUCAGCCACACUGGGACUGAGACACGGCCCAGACUCCUACGGGAGGCAGCAGUGGGGAAUAUUGGACAAUGGGCGAAAGCCUGAUCCAGCAAUGCCGCGUGAGUGAUGAAGGCCUUAGGGUUGUAAAGCUCUUUUACCAGGGAUGAUAAUGACAGUACCUGGAGAAUAAGCUCCGGCUAACUCCGU
rnacentral:rRNA from 1 species